AUUGAACGCUGGCGGCAUGCCUUACACAUGCAAGUCGAACGGCAGCACGGGUGCUUGCACCUGGUGGCGAGUGGCGAACGGGUGAGUAAUACAUCGGAACAUGUCCUGUAGUGGGGGAUAGCCCGGCGAAAGCCGGAUUACUACCGCAUACGAUCUACGGAUGAAAGCGGGGGACCUUCGGGCCUCGCGCUAUAGGGUUGGCCGAUGGCUGAUUAGCUAGUUGGUGGGGUAAAGGCCAACCAAGGCGACGAUCAGUAGCUGGUCUGAGAGGACGACCAGCCACACUGGGACUGAGACACGGCCCAGACUCCUACGGGAGGCAGCAGUGGGGAAUUUUGGACAAUGGGCGAAAGCCUGAUCCAGCAAUGCCGCGUGUGUGAAGAAGGCCUUCGGGUUGUAAAGCACUUUUGUCCGGAAAGAAAUCCUUGGCCCUAAUACGGUCGGGGGAUGACGGUACCGGAAGAAUAAGCACCGGCUAACUACGUG
rnacentral:rRNA from 1 species